rnacentral:rRNA from 1 species
GUGUCAGCAGCCGCGGUAAUACGUAGGGUGCAAGCGUUGUCCGGAAUUAUUGGGCGUAAAGAGCUCGUAGGCGGUUUGUCGCGUCUGCUGUGAAAUCCCGAGGCUCAACCUCGGGUCUGCAGUGGGUACGGGCAGACUAGAGUGUGGUAGGGGAGAUUGGAAUUCCUGGUGUAGCGGUGGAAUGCGCAGAUAUCAGGAGGAACACCGAUGGCGAAGGCAGAUCUCUGGGCCAUUACUGACGCUGAGGAGCGAAAGCAUGGGGAGCGAACAGGAUUAGAAACCCUGGUAGUCC